rnacentral:lncRNA from 1 species
GGGGGUUGGAAUACGAAGUGAAUGCUAACAGGGGUUUCUUUUUGGGGUGAUGGAAAUGUCCUAAAAUGGAUUGUGGUGGUGGUACACAACUCUGUGAAAAUACAAAAAACCAUGGAACUGUACAGUUUAAAGGAUGAAUUAUAUGGUAUGUCAUAAUAUCUCAAUAGGCUAUUAAAAAAUACCUCCCCACAACACUACUCCAAAGAGGUUACAGUAAAUACAUGUAAAUAUGUUAGAAAUAUUAAUUUGUUCACUUUUUUUUUUGUUGAGAUGGAGUCUCAGUCUGUCUCCCAGGCUAGAGUGCAGUGGCGCGAUCUUGGCUCACUGCAA